CUCAGAGGAUGGGUGCAGGCACCCAGCAGUGAGGAGAGCCUCUCUGAAGAGCAGGGACUCCUCUCUACCUUCACUCAGGAGAGCAUGGCACUGAUUUCUGAUGUUGAAGAACACACCCUGAGCCUUCAGAGAAAAUGCCUAAACCCCACAGGAAGACAUCUGGUGAAUGACUCUUAGCAAAAGAGCUCUUCCAGUGAGAAGACAGCAUACCCUGUAACUGUACAAGCUUCCAGACAUAUGCACAGCUUCUCAGCUCGCAAGUCUGAUAUACAGCAUUAAGAGGUCUGCUCAAUAGAUGGUGAAGUCUAAAACUGCUCAUUGCUCUUCUGUAACACAUCAAGUAUCAACUGGUGAUAUGAGGACAACAUGUGAAUCCUGUCCCUGAAAGAAUCUCCUGCAUGGUGUUUCAGCAUCAGACUAAACAGUGUAAAAAGCAUAACAUGGUGUUUAGAAGAAUAGUAGUUUAAUAAUUGAUUAUCAACAAAAGGUAUGACAUUAAAUAGAGCCAAAUACCAUUUUUAUCAGCUGUACCAGAACAAGCUGAUGAUCUGCAAGCAAGCAUGAUAAUAUUGCCACUGCAGUCAGUUUUUCCAACUUCGUACUCAAGAUAGUAAGAGAUAUAUACAGAAGAGCCACAACAGAAGAGCGAAACACCAUGAAUUUGUCUAAAUUGAAACUCAUGAUGAUGUUUCACUGGUUUCACUGUUUGCUAUUCCCCCUUCUUCCCUAACAGAAAACAGAUAAAUUCUCAAGCAGUUAAUAAAAGAUGGAAAUUUGUCUGAUUGCUUCAUUAGGCUGCAAAAGCAUAACCCAGGGAAGCUGGAACAGCAAAAAACUAACUUGUGUAAUUACUGUUGCAGAAGAGGCAUGCAGCUUCUAGCCAGCCUGUAAGAAACAGCUAGCCAGAAUAAGCUAGACAAACUUUUAAUGUAGCCACUGUUACUCCAGUAUGAAUUCUUACUGUCUCAAAGGAAGCAAAAAUUGUAACAUACCAUAUGGACGUAACCUCUUUCACUACAGUACCUGCCAUUAUAACUGCAUUAGGUGGGCACAUAAGCCAUGCAAUAUAGAUAUAUAUGCUAUUUCUAUGGAAUACCCUUCAUAUAUGUCACUCCUUGAAAUAGUCAGUGCUGGUGUCAACUGUAGUUUGUCAACAAUCCUCAAGCCAGCAAGGUAGAGUAAAUACUAUAUUUUGCAGGUCUGAGAGACUGCACUUUUCUUGAAACAGAAAUUUGGACAAUUUUGGUGAUUUCUUCCACUCAGUCUCCUGCAGCUCUUUUUUUUUUACUACGGCUUUCCAUUCCACCUCUCACAGCAUUCGUUCAAGAUACAAAAUAAAUUCCUGAAGCUCCUUAAGCUGCUGUCCCCAUCUUACCUUUCCUCAUAUUUCUACAAGACCGGAACAUGAUGUUAUCCAAGGCUCAGUUCUGCCCCAUGGCCCCCACAUCCUCGUGGCUUGGUUUGUCACUUAAUUGUUUUGAUUAAUAUUUGUUUCCCCCUAGGUGCAAAGUACUACCAUGGCAUCCUGCUGUCUGCAAUUAUCCCAGCCUCAGCUUUGCUUGAAACUGUAGCUUUAACUCUUCAACUCCUUUCUCUGUGUAUAAGUAAUUUAGACCUAAUUCUACUUGGAAUUAAUACAUAAU